rnacentral:lncRNA from 1 species
AUGCUCCCAAUCAGCAGAAUGAUGAACGAACAGCAAAGCACCUUUUCUUCAUCACAUAUAGAGGUUAACUGUCUGCUUCAUCCUCAUGGGAGAUUCAGAAAGUGUCAUGCUAUUAGCUCAAGGUCCAGAGCUGGAGCCACUGCUGCAGAACAAGGUCGUGCCUUGGGCCAUUCAGCCACCAGCCUGCAAAGCAGAGCCAGUGCCAGGACCAGGCUGACUCCUCUGACUGCUCAAAGCCACCUGACUGAAACCACUCCAUAUUCGACAACAGGACAUGGCCACCAGCCUUUUGCCGAAACAACCCUUAAAUUACACCACAGGGACAUUAAAACUGGAAAUAAACUGUCCUCCUCACCAGAGAGGGGAAGGACCGUGACCAUGUGUCUCUGGGCUACAAAUAAGUUGUGCUGUGUCUCAAAAGCCGGCCUGCUCUGUCUCACCUGCAGCACAGACCUUCUUAUCUUCCAGCAGAGAAAGCCCAGUCAGCUGUUAUUCUCCACCAAACAUUUACAGAGCUGAAAGCUUUGGGCAUUUUGUGGUGCCAAUUUGUUCAUAGCAGGGGAGUCUCUGUGGCCACCCACAGUAUACUGAAAUGCACAAGCCAGCCAAGAAGCUCUGCAUAAACAACUUGGUACAAUGCGCUGUGAUGCUGCUGUAUUUCUGCAUGACAAGUUCAUUACCAUUUGGCCUUGGCUGAUGCUGAUGUACAGUGAAAAAGAAAGAGAAAGACUCUUCACAGUUACAUUAAUUCCAUUUUAUUUAAUAAAAAACAGUAUCAGAUUAAAAAUACA